UACAGAGGGUGCAAACGUUGUUCGGAAUUACUGGGCGUAAAGCGCGUGUAGGCGGUUGGCUAAGUCGACUGUGAAAGCCCAUGGCUCAACCAUGGAAGUGCAGUCGAUACUGGCCAACUGGAGUCCCGGAGAGGGUGGUGGAAUUCUCAGUGUAGAGGUGAAAUUCGUAGAUAUUGAGAGGAACACCGGUGGCGAAGGCGACCACCUGGACGGGUACUGACGCUGAGACGCGAAAGCGUGGGGAGCAAACAGG
rnacentral:rRNA from 1 species